GCUCAGAUUGAACGCUGGCGGCAGGCCUAACACAUGCAAGUCGAGCGGUAGAGAGGUGCUUGCACCUCUUGAGAGCGGCGGACGGGUGAGUAAUGCCUAGGAAUCUGCCUGGUAGUGGGGGAUAACGCUCGGAAACGGACGCUAAUACCGCAUACGUCCUACGGGAGAAAGCAGGGGACCUUCGGGCCUUGCGCUAUCAGAUGAGCCUAGGUCGGAUUAGCUAGUUGGUGGGGUAAUGGCUCACCAAGGCGACGAUCCGUAACUGGUCUGAGAGGAUGAUCAGUCACACUGGAACUGAGACACGGUCCAGACUCCUACGGGAGGCAGCAGUGGGGAAUAUUGGACAAUGGGCGAAAGCCUGAUCCAGCCAUGCCGCGUGUGUGAAGAAGGUCUUCGGAUUGUAAAGCACUUUAAGUUGGGAGGAAGGGCAUUAACCUAAUACGUUAGUGUUUGACGUACCGACAGAA
rnacentral:rRNA from 1 species